rnacentral:rRNA from 1 species
UACGGGAGGCAGCAGUGGGGAAUAUUGCACAAUGGGCGCAAGCCUGAUGCAGCCAUGCCGCGUGUAUGAAAAAGGCCUUCGGGUUGUAAAGUACUUUCAGUCGUGAGGAAGGUGUUAAGGUUAAUAACCUUAGCAAUUGACGUUAGCGACAGAAGAAGCACCGGCUAACUCCGUGCCAGCAGCCGCGGUAAUACGGAGGGUGCGAGCGUUAAUCGGAAUUACUGGGCGUAAAGGGCACGCAGGCGGUUAAUUAAGUUGGAUGUGAAAUCCCCGGGCUUAACCUGGGAAUGGCAUUCAAGACUGGCUAGCUAGAGUCUUGUAGAGGGGGUAGAAUUCCAUGUGUAGCGGUGAAAUGCGUAGAGAUGUGGAGGAAUACCGGUGGCGAAGGCGGCCCCUGGACAAAGACUGACGCUCAUGUGCGAAAGCGUGGGGAGCAAAC